rnacentral:lncRNA from 1 species
AUUUUUGUGCGCCUGCGAGUCGUCGCAAGGACGCCGCCGUGCGUAGACGGUCGCCACAAGAAAAUAUUGGUGCUGCCAGGCACGUAAGCCACCGCCGUCCAUGAGUGUUGCCGUGCGCGUAAGUGACCGCCAUGCGUGAGUGUUGCUGUGCGCAUAAGUGACCGUCGUACGUGAGUGCUGUCGUGUGCGUAAGUCACCGUUGUGCGUGUGAGCUGUCGUAUGCGAUGUGGGUCGUCGGGCGCAGCUGUAUAGGGUAGUCUUGGGGACUUUCUCUUCUUUUUUCUCAUGUUUAUGAACCACUUGUCCCUUGCUUGUUGCUUUGUGUGCCAUGUGAAUGCCACUUGCAAAGUGUGUGCCAUGUGGAGGCCCCUUGAUGCCACUUAUUGUUUGCAUGCUACCCCUUCCUUUUUCUAUUUAUUCCCCCUUCACACCCCUCUCAAGAGUUUUCUCUCUUUGUCUCUCAGCCACGUUUUCCCCCUUUAAGCCCUUAGAGCCUCAAGCAUGAGACCCUCCAUUGAAAGCUUGACCUCGGAGAAAGACAGUGUAGGGAAUUUGGAGCCUUUGGUACAUGUAAGUAGAUUCAUUUUCCAUGCUUCUAUGCUUUGUGAUACAUUUUUUGGUUAGUUCAUUCAAGUAUGAAAUUCAAGAAAAAUUAUGUGUUUGUGAUUAUAAAUAUGAGCAUGAAUCUACAAAUAUGAACUAGUGAAUGGUUAUAAGAUAAUGAAUGCUUAUGAACUAGUGAAUGUUUAUGAGAUGAUGAAUGCUUAUGUAACACUAAGUGAGCAUGGUUGUUAUCAGAUAAGCCAUUGUUUAUGAAAUGAUGAAUGCUUAUGAACUAGUGAAUGUUUAUGAAAGGAUGAAUACUUAUAUAAGGUUGAAUGAGCAAGGUUGUGAUAAGUUCCAUGUGAUAAGAGCUAAGUGAUAUGUAAUUCAUUGGUAUACUUUGAGCAUAUUGCAUGACCGUAUUGUGCUCUGAUAAGAAUGCAUAAAAUUGAAAUAUGCUCUGAUGCUCUGUUAUGAAAUAAACACCUGCUCUGUUAUAAAAGGAACACUGGUUCUGUUAUAAAAUGAAUAUGUGACUUGUUAUGAACUGAAAGCCCUCUAUGAUAUGAUAAAAGUGUGCUAUGAUAAGUAAUGUGAUAUGAACCACUAUGCAAUGGAUCAUCCAUUGAUAGUGUGAUGUGCUUUGAUAUGAUAAGUAAUGUGAUAUGAAGCACUAUGCAAUGGGUCAUCCAUUGAUAGUGUGAUGUACUUUGAUAUGAUAAGUAAUGUGAUAUGAAGUACUAUGCAAUGGGUUAUCCAUUGAUAGUAUCACGUGCUUUGAUAUGAUAAGUAAAUGUGAUAUGAAGCACUAUGCAAUGGGUCAUCCCUUGAUAGUGUGAUAUGCUUUGAGAUGAUAGUAAUGUGAUACGAAGCACUAUGCAAUGGAUCAUCCAUUAGUAGUAUGAUGUGAUAUGAUAUGAUUGUGAUAAGUGCUAUGUGAUAAGAUCCGUGUGGUCAACUAUAUGAUCCCUUGGCAUGCUUUGCUCAACCAUGAUAUGAGUGCAUGAUUAUGUGAUGUGUGAGCAUGGACUUGCCUCAUGAUGUGAAGAGAAUGUGAUAUGUGAGCAUGGACUUGCCGCACGAUGAGAUGAGAAUGUAAUGUGUGAGCAUGGACUUCCUGCACGAUGAGAUGAGAAUGUGAUGUCUGAGCUUGGACUUGCCGCACGAUGAGAUGUGAAUGUGACAUGUGAGCAUGGACUUGCCGCACGAUGAUAUACAAUAUGUGACCAUGGACUUGCCACAUGAUCUUUCCCUGAUUCCCGAUGAUAGGAAGGGAGCUAGGAUGUGAUAUGGAUUUGGGAGGGUCGCCCCCUCCAAAGAUAUAUAUGGGUACUAUCCAUUGGGAUCCCUUUGGUAGUGUAGCGUCCUCUAGCGGAGAUGCAAAGAGAGGGCAGUAUCUUCCCAAGCCAAGAGCCUAUCAAAAGCCCCAAAGCGUGCUGGGGACUGUGUGCGUAUGUGAGAAGACAUUACAAAUACAAUUACUCAUUGUCAUUGUCUUUCCUCCUGAGUGAUGGUAGAAGUCCUAAGCAAUAGAAUUCGCUUGGCCUGAUGAAUAAGAUCUUUGCUUCAAGAAUAGGCAAAUUAGGGAGUGAGUUAGUUGUAAUGGUUGUUAUUCACCUUAAUAUGUUAAUUGCCAAGUUUUGUAUGGUUGAACGAUUUGAUUGACCCUUGCAUCAUAUCAUAUAUGAUUGAUCUGAUUUGUUAAUGUUUCACUAUGAAUCAUGCACGGCACACUAAUAAAUAUGAUUAUGGUACAUGACUUAUGUUUUAUAAAUACGGUAUAGAACCUUGUACAUUGUUGUAAAAUGAUAUUCAUAAACUGGAAAGCAUGAUAUCAUGAUCUACUUACUGCGCUUUAUAGAUCAUUCCAUUUACUUUCAUCUAUGUAGAGUAAUAGCUCGCAGGUCAAGGACAGAUGGCUGGGUGAUCGCGACUAGCUACUGAAGACCUGCACUUGAUGAGGAAAUUGUUUUGAUUGUAUGUUUUGGAUGGCGGUAGCCAUAUAGUUCAUGUUUAUUUGAAAGUCAUCUGAAUGUAUUGUUGUAGGGCCUUUAGUGUCAUGGACACAAUUGUAAUACUUGGAGCUUUUGUAUAUAGUUCGGUUUCAAUUGGUUCAGAUUUUGCUAUGAAUGUGAUUGGAGUGUUGUUUUAUUUUCGUGGUUUGCUUUGAUUACCUCUUUUCUAAGGCGCUGAGCGCGCACCUACGUGAGUGGCAUUCACCACUUUCGGUUGCGGUUUCGCCCUCUGUCGCCCUCUAGCAUGUACAGUAGGGGUCAGGGGGGUGGGAUCGUGACAGUUAUGGUAUCAGAGCAGCCAGGAUAGGAUUCUUGGCCUAGAGAGUCUUAGAAGUGUAAUUAGGGUGGUCUUGAACAAGCUAGUGAUUGGGUGUUCCUAUUUUAGGUCAAGAUAACGAGGACUCGUGCCAACAAUGCGAGUUCUAGCAAUGAGAUACUGAAGCCCUCAGGGAUUUUUUCAAGACUUUAGGGGCCAUGACCUAGAUGAUGAAAGACCAUAUGCCGGCCCCGACUACCCCGGCCCCAUACCAGACUGAUUGCAGUCUAAUUGAGAGGUUUAGGAGGUUGGCACCUCCGACGUUUUUGGGGUAUGGGGGAGUGAAAAAAUCUGAGAGAUGGAGGAGACAAGUGGAAAAGAUAUUUGAUAUAUUAUAGUGAUUAGAUGAACAAAAGGUUAGGCUGGGAACUUUCAUGUUGGAUGGGGAUGCUGAGCAUUAUUGGAGCUCAGUGAGGCAAUCCUGUGAAGAGACAGGAACUGAGGCAACCUGGAGAAAUUUUCUAUUAGUAUUUAAUGAGAAGUACUUCCCUGAUUUAGUCAGAGAGAGAAAAGAAGUAGAAUUUAUUAAGCUGCAGCAAGGGAAACUAUCAGUAGAGUAGUAUGCGAAAAAAUUUGCUGAGCUCUCCCGUUACGCACCACACAUCAUCAGUACAGAGGCACGUAAGGCGAACAAGUUCGAGAGGGGUCUCCGAUCAGAUAUAAGAGGGAGAGAAUUAUCAGGCAACCUCAAGACCUUCUCCCCAUUGGUGGACCUUGCUAUGAAGAUUGAGAAGGAUUGUGAGGAGUUCUGGUUGAGGAAGGAAGGGAGAGUAAGGUCCACAAUGUUUGGAAACUUUGGGAGAAAGAAUCGGCCGCUUCCUAGGAGAACCUUUAGAAGAGAGAUUAAUUAGGAUAAUGUGAAAACCCAGAAGACUUUUUUAGGGGAUGUGAGGGAGAACCAAUGCCCAACCUGCUCAUACUGCGGGCUGAGCUACCACUCUAUAGCUGAGUACCGUAAAAGGCCGGGAGAGUGUUUUGGAUGUGACAAACUUGGCAACCUAAUCAAAGAUUGCCCUACGAAGAAACCAGAGAACAGACCAAAUAUUAAAAGUCGGGUUUUUGCACUAACAGAAUAGGAGGCUAAGCCAUCUACCUCAGUGACCCGAGGUAAGGUCUUUGUUUGUGACAAGAGAAACUAGAAUUUUGUUUGACCCUGAUUGCCUUCCUACUUUGUUAUAAUGUCACAUUUUGUAUGUCACCUAAGUAUUGAAUCUGCACCUUUUGAUCAUACCUUAGUGUGUGCACACCUUUUGGGGGACUCUUUGGUGACUGAUUUAGAGUUUCGGUGUUGUGAGAUAUGAUUGGGAGGGGGAGUCUUGCCCAUAAACUUGAUUCUUUUGGAUGUUUAGGAUUUUGGACGCCUUCCUGGGCAUAGGUUGGUUGUGUGCUCAUGCCUUAAUAGAUUGUGGAGAUGAAUGCCAUUUUUAGCCCCCCCCCCUUUUUUUUUAUUUGAUUAGCAGAUGUAUGAUUUUGGGGACAAAAUCCAUUUUAAGGGGGGGAUGAUAUAAGGACCCGGACUUUUUUGGUAUAUUUUAGUGCGUCGGUGAGUCGUCACAAGGACAUCGCCGUGCGUAGAUGGUCGCUGCGCAUGAAGGUUGGUGCUAUCAUGCACGUAGGUCACCGCCGUGCAUGAGUGAUGCCGAGCACGUAAGUCACCGCCAUGCUUGAGUGUUGUCAUGUGUAUAAGUCACCGCCAUGCGUGAGUGCUACCGUGCAUAUAAGUCACCGCCGUGUGUGAGUGCUGCCAUGUGUGUAAGGUAUUGCCAUGUGUGAGUGCUGCCAUGCGUGUAAGUCAUAGUCGUGCAUGAGUGCUGUCGUGCACGAUGUGGGUGUGAGCUGCCGUGUGCGAUGUGGGCAGUCGAGCAUAGUAGUAUAAGGUAAUCCUGGGGACUUCCUCUUCUUUUCUCUCAUGUUUGUGAACCACUUGUCCCUUGCGUGUUGCUUUGUAUGCCACUUGUAAAGUGUGUGCCAUGGGGAGGCCCCUUGAUGCCACUUGUUGUUUGUAUGCUACCCCUUCCUUUUCCUAUUUAUUCACCCCUUCACACCCCUCUCAAGAGUUUGCUCUCUCUCUCAGCUACGUUUCCCCCCUUUAAGCACUUAGAGCCUCAAGCUUGAGACCCUCCAUUGAAAGCUUGACCUUGGAGAAAAACUGUGUAUGAAAUUUGGAAUCUUUUGUGCCUGUAAGUAGAUUCAUUUUUCAUGCUUCUAUGCUUUGUGAUACAUGUUUUUGGUUAGUUCAUUCAAGUAUGAAAUUCAAGAAAAAUUAUGUGUGUGUGAUUGUAAAUAUGAGCAUGAAUAUACAAAUCAUAAAGUUUAAUCUUGAUUUUUUAUACAAUUUGGAAUAUGGAUGUGGCUGUACCCUACAAAAUUUAUGCUAGAAGGAGUCCUGAUUUUCAGGGAUUUUGCAUGAUAGAUUGAGCAUUGAAUAUAUUUCUGAUGAUUAAGAAAAUUGAUUGAAAUACACCCUCAUGAAUCUAGUUUAAGAUGAAAAACACCUUGUAUUAAUGGAAAUACACCCUUAUGAAUCUAGAGUAAUAGCUCGCAGGUCAAGACGGCCGACUUGGUGAUUGCGACUAGUUGCUGAAGACCCACACCUGACAAGGAAAUUCUUUUGAUUGUAUGUUUUGGAUGGCGGUCGCCAUAUAGUUCAUGUUUAUUUUGAGGUCAUGUGAAUGUAUUGUUGUUGGCCUUUGCCAUGGACACAAUUGUAAUACUUGGAG